rnacentral:rRNA from 1 species
CCUCCGCCGCCGCCCCCAUCGGCUUGGCCCUCUCUAGUUCCCGACUUCCUGCCCUGCCCGCGCCGCGUCACCGUAUCCUCCUUCUCCGCUGCACCGCCGCAGUCCUUCUCCUGCCCCUCCACUGGAACCAACCGAAGAACGCCUGGAAGUGGAGGAAAUCCCCGUCUGCCUCUCUACUGGAUCUGGAUCGGCUCCCGUGACUCUUCCUCCCUCUGUUGGUAAGGACGCACUAGCUCCGCUACUACAUUUUGCAGUGAAGAAUCAAACAGAAUCCAAUUCAAUCCAGGUGGAUCUCUAUCUUUGUGGCCUUUUGUGCUGAUCCGGCAUGGAGGUCAAACCUGACGUCGGUUUGUCUUAGCGGAGCGGCCGUGUGGUGGCCGGUCUACGGCAUGGCUCAUUGGAGGCAGCAGCGACAGCGGCAUCGCAGUUUCCUUCCCCGUCCACGAGGUCUGAUCUCCCGCCCGCCCCCUUCACUGGUGACUUGUUCUUGUUUUUUUUUUCAUUUUACUUUGGACUAAUCUCAUAGCUUCUUGGUCAGUUCGUCUUUUAUCUUCCGUGACCACGAGAUAAUUUUCACGAAUUUGUAUCUUAAUUGAUUUUGGUCUGUGGCUACCUAAUUCUAGAGAUGGAAUAGAAUAGAAUAGGUUGAGCGAAUCGAUCUGAAACUGAGUAGGCACAUAUUUCAGUGUAGGUUAGUCGGUGGUUUUGGAGCAAAAUUGUACGCCCCGAAAGAAAUAUCUACACGGGAGAAAAAAAGAAAAUGGUAUGUCGAAACAUCUGAACGACAUUUCAAUGCAACGGGAGCACCAUAUCUGUAGAGUGCUAAAGCUGCACUUGUUGUUUUCAUUUCCUGCUAUUCGAUUUGCUAUUAAUCUUACUUUCUCAAUGUACAGAUGUGCUUCACAAAUUUUAAAAAAUCUUGAUGAUUAACACUUUAACUUAAGGAGAUAUUUCCAUAAGCAAGUUUAGUUUCUUCCUGUGCUGGGUUCUAUUAGCUUAUUCUGAAUCUGAACAUGACAUGACGAACCACUGAGACGUGAUCAGAUCAAUUAAUUUUUUUUUUGUGUGUGUAUAACAAGUUCCUUUGAUUGAUUGGCAUACAUCUCAGGCGCACAUACUGGAACACGGCGGUCUAGCCAACCUCUGGCCUCCGCUUCUUCCUCCCCGACGGUGUUGUGGAACCAACGGUGGGUUCAGCUACCCUCGACCGUGGCCUAACACGCACGGACUGAAGAUAAGUUAUUCUAUCUCUUCCUUAAAGUGAGAUCGUUUGCUUCUCUGAUCCAGUUCUAGUAAUUUGUACAAGGCCUUAGCUUGUUGUCAGGGAGGAACUUUCAUCUCAUUGCUGAAACUUGGGUAAACUGUGGGCAUACAAAAUACAUCUUUGUUUUUGUUGCCUUACAAACAUGGCUGUGAACAAACCGAAUGUUGGCAAACAAUUGUAUAUCCAUUUUCACUUAUUAUGAUAUUUCUGAAAGUGAAAGGGACUAAGGAUAGCACAGAGAGCAGAGAGCACACGGGUUAUGUUGGAAAAAUUGGUCGAAGUUACAAUGCAUUAGCUAGCAUAAAUAUAGCACAACUAGCAUGCCUAGAUGCACACAACGUUGAUGGUAAGGUAUGCUUGACAACUACCUAAUAGGAUCAGAUUAUUCAUUUUGUAAAUGUAAAAAAGAUAGUAUUGUCUUCACAACGUCCACCACUGAAUAUCUCUGUAUUUCUAGACCUUGAUUUGAUAUUAAAAAAACAAUCCAGUUUAUCUUCUCGCUUAUGUCCUGGAAGGUUUCAGGAUCUGUAUCUAUAUUCGUGAUUGCUACUGCAUGUGUUCUGACUCGGCUUGUACCUUCAUUAAAAUGAAGUAAUACUUAAGCUAUGUAUGAGUCUGAUCCGUGCAAGACUUGUUCCUACUGCUGCCACCUUGUAUAAAUAUAUACUGGUUCGUGCAAGACUUGCUCCUACUUCAAAUUUUUAGUCUGAACGUACCUAUAUAUACGUGCAUCAGACUAAAUUUGUAGUCUGAUUCGUGAAGUAGGAGCAACGGUUGUUCCUACUGCUGCCACCAUGUAUAAAUAUAUACUGGUUAAUUUCAUUUAACUAUUUUUUUCUGUCACAAAUAAUAGUACUAUGCUGGUCAAGUGGGGAACGUAUAGAAUCGUCUUGCACAGAAGUAACACGGAUAAUAUAAUCAAUGGGUUUUUGAUAGAAAAGCAUUUCUGUAUAUCCUGAAUGAAUAUAAACGAUGCAUGAUUAUUUCAAGUUGCACUUUCCUAUCUAUUAUCUCAUUGUUUAUCAAGUAUUUUCAUGUUUCAUAGUCCACUACAUUAUAAUGGGUUUAUAUGGCCUCAGCUACUGCUGCUAUAGUACUUGGAGUUCUGUGAUGUGUGUUUCGUCACUUUGUCAUUUGACACACCUUUCUUUGGCUUAAUUUUAAGCAACCUCAUGUUUACUCUUGUUUUAUAGUAGAUACAAUGUUAUUCUCAUUUGUAGGCACUAUAAGAUUUAAGAAUUCUGGACAUGUAAUUCAUUUUUAUAUUUGUUGCAAUUUUCUUAUUUCUACUAUCUAUUCAUAUGUGCAAAUAUCUAAUAUUCUUGUUAAUAUGCUAGGUAAGAUUGGAUACUGUGCUACUUGGUGCUGCCCAUCACAAUCAGCUACGGCAUGAUCGUUGCCAUCAAGAACGUCGAUGGCAAGAGCUUGAAUAACAGCCUCGAUAGUUUAUAUGUUCUGUUGAUGUAAAAUGGAUUGUACUGGUUCAUAACUCUGCUGUGUGAUAUAUUUUGUCAAUCUAUGUUGUAUGUCAUCACUUUGUAGAGGAUUUUUUAAACUGCUAUGUUGUAGAUACAUACAGAUGGCUGUGUUAAACUUUGUAAUGUUUCACACCUUGCAAAUAUUUUUUGUUGGGAA